GAUCAUAGACAUUAGAAAUUAUUUUAUAUGACAGUUAUAAUUUACAUAGCAUCCACUUUUUAAUUACUGAAAGAAAUAACCAAAAGUGGCCAGUAGAGUGUGUGAAGUCAUUUAUGAGCGACAAAUAAUAAUGAAAAGAGAAAGAAUAUAACAGUAUACCCGUGAACAAAAUAACUCCAUUUAUAGACCUUCUACAUCUCCGUUUGCUGCUAAUGUUUAUUCAGGGAGCUGGCCGUGCUUUUUCUGCUGGAGGGGAUCUACGAAUGUUCUAUGAUGGCAGGAAAACAAAGGAUUCCUGCCUUGAAGUGGUUUAUAGAAUGUACUGGCUUUGCUAUCACAUUCAUACCUACAAGAAGACCUUGAUUUCGCUAG